ACUGUGCAUGCUUCACAAGUUUAAACGUUAACGUAAACCUCGACGAAGGAAACGCAUUCUGCAUUCUCAGUUCACAAGUCAACAAGGGAUUACCGCUAUAUACUUUAUUGGAAAACGGCAAUGUUUUCAAGUACUCUACUUUACUCCAUUUACUUUUUCUUGACAAUUUCGAUGGUGAUUUUCCCGUCGACUUUGACUUUGCGCUGCGGUUCAGCAAUCUGGUACGACUGCAAGAGCAGUAGUAAAACGACAAUAAAGCCAAACGCAGCAAUAAAAGGAUCGAGAACAGCUCUCGCACUAAAGUCCACUAGACGUCAGAAUAAACUGUCUUGGCGUCGACCUAGCAAACGAAAGCCCACCUUCAAAAAACAACAUCGAAAUGACAUCAUUUGAAAAUGAACAAACGAGAAGAAACUUAGUAAUUCAUAAUUUCAUAUGCAUAGAAAACUCAAUAAGCAUAUAUAUAAUAUGCUGUUUAUUAAAGAAACUAGACAAAGCAUUUAAUGUUUACAUGUACAGACUUUGAUUGACUGCCCAAAAAGUUUAUGAAUAAAAGUCAGAUAAUAACUGUGAA